rnacentral:rRNA from 1 species
GGGGGAUAUUGGACAAUGGGGGGAACCCUGAUCCAGCGACGCCGCGUGAGUGAAGAAGUAUUUCGGUAUGUAAAGCUCUGUCAGCAGGGAAGAAAUCAUGACGGUACCUGACCAAGAAGCCCCGGCUAACUACGUGCCAGCAGCCGCGGUAAUACGUAGGGGGCAAGCGUUAUCCGGAAUUACUGGGUGUAAAGGGAGCGUAGACGGUUAAGUAAGUCUGGAGUGAAAGGCUGGGGCCCAACCCCGGGACUGCUCUGGAAACUAUUUAACUUGAGUGCAGGAGAGGUAAGCGGAAUUCCUAGUGUAGCGGUGAAAUGCGUAGAUAUUAGGAGGAACACCAGUGGCGAAGGCGGCUUACUGGACGGAAACUGACGUUGAGGCUCGAAAGCGUGGGGAGCAAAC